rnacentral:lncRNA from 1 species
CUCACACAGUGUUAGCUAUUGUGUGUGUGUGUGUGUGUGUGUGUGUGUGUGUGUAUAUAUAUGUGUGUAUAUUAGGAUCUUAUAGCUGUGUCUAAGCAUUACUUACUGCAUUUCAGUAUGCUCUACUGGAUGCAUCUUGGGUUUCCAAGGGAAGGAAGGAAUGUUACGUGCACAGAGGGGAAGGGAAUGACGAUGCCCUUCAGCUGUGUGAUUUUGAAGUCUGGCCGUAAUUAAUGUGCAAUCGAUACUAAAUCCUGAGAAACAAGAUAUCUCUGGUCAUAGCUGUGAGGCUGUGGGGACAUCAGUAAGCCUCUGUACGCACUGGGUCCUUCAGUGUGCUAAAUGUACAAAAAGCCGAGAUUAACUUUUCUGACGAGACAUUAAUUUCACGAAAAUAAGCCUGGAAAACCAAAGGUUGGAGGAGAAAAAGGCAGAGGUCCACGAAAUCACGUGUGGCAAGGAGAAGGUGACUUGAGGUGGGCUGUACCUUCUCUCUUCCCAAGCAAGAACGAGGAGCCAUUGCAAAGAACUGGUGGGAGCCGAGUCCAAAACAAGGGAUAUUACGGAGACAAAUCUCCAUGGGCUCUUGCGGCAACAGGGCCUAUGACUGGAUUUUAGAAUACAACCACUUCCCUAAGAAAUCGCAGUGAUCCAUCAGCCAUGAGCAUGAACUACAGGGACAUGCAGAGAUUUAACAUGUGUAGUGCAAUGAUGUUGUGAGAGCAGAAAAGACUACAUCUCUACGUGAGACUAUGACUAGAACCUACUGUCCUAGGGACCACAGCUCAGCAAUUCGGGUACCCAAAUAGGAGAAGGUGGAGCAGGUUAUAAUAUAGUGCGGAGCAAUCUUUGGAUUUCAGGCAGCAGCACAGGUAUUACCUGCAAGGGAGUGC